AUUGAACGCUGGCGGCAUGCUUUACACAUGCAAGUCGAACGGUAACAGGCCGCAAGGUGCUGACGAGUGGCGAACGGGUGAGUAAUGCAUCAGAACGUGCCCAGUCGUGGGGGAUAACGCAGCGAAAGCUGUGCUAAUACCGCAUACGAUCUAUGGAUGAAAGCGGGGGACCGUAAGGCCUCGCGCGAUUGGAGCGGCCGAUGUCAGAUUAGGUAGUGGGUGGGGUAAAGGCCUACCAAGCCGACGAUCUGUAGCUGGUCUGAGAGGACGACCAGCCACACUGGGACUGAGACACGGCCCAGACUCCUACGGGAGGCAGCAGUGGGGAAUUUUGGACAAUGGGCGCAAGCCUGAUCCAGCAAUGCCGCGUGCAGGAAGAAGGCCUUCGGGUUGUAAACUGCUUUUGUACGGAACGAAACGGCCUGGGUUAAUACCCUGGGCUAAUGACGGUACCGUAAGAAUAAGCACCGGCUAACUACGUGCCAGCCGCCGCCGUAACAC
rnacentral:rRNA from 1 species